AUUGAUAAUUAUACCUUGACACGUGGACUAUAAUCUUGUACUGUUAGAACACCAUAACAUCACACAGAACUUGAUGAAAUUAAGGCACAAAGUAGUUAUCAAACACUGCCUGGGUUACCCAGAAACCCAGGAAGGGCCUGACAGUCACUUUGAACCUCUAGAUCUUGCUAGUAUGUUGUCAUAUGACCCUGUUAGUUGAUGAUUCAUGUAGUAUUAC
rnacentral:lncRNA from 1 species